rnacentral:lncRNA from 1 species
UUUUACAUUCCUACUCCGUGUCCUAUUUUUAAUGCUUACUCAUAAAGUAUGUUAUACAUAAUACACUCAUAAAUAUAUAUUAUAAUGACUAAUAACGGAAAAUGCAAAUUGCAUUUCUUCUUCUAUGUUGUUGUAAGAAUUCCAUCUUUAUUAGUAGACACUUAUCUUUACAUAAUUCAAUGUAGUAAUAUGCAUCUACGAUCUGCCUAUACAUAUACAUUAAUAUAUAUGACACCCUAUAAGAAACUAAACGUGACUUUC